rnacentral:rRNA from 1 species
ACAUGUUUAUAGCAUAGCGUUAAUGCACCGAAUCCCAUUAGAACUCCGCAUUUAAACGCGCUCGGACUAGAGUAGUACUGGGAUGGGUCAUUAUGCGAGAAGUCCUAGUGUUUUACAUGCC